rnacentral:rRNA from 1 species
GGAGGAAUAUUGGUCAAUGGCCGGAAGGCUGAACCAGCCAUCCCGCGUGCAGGAUGACGGCCCUAUGGGUUGUAAACUGCUUUUGUACCUGAAGAAACCUGGUUACGUGUAGCCAGUUGCCGGUAAGGUAUGAAUAAGCAUCGGCUAACUCCGUGCCAGCAGCCGCGGUAAUACGGAGGAUGCAAGCGUUAUCCGGAUUCAUUGGGUUUAAAGGGUGCGCAGGUGGGAAAAUAAGUCAGUGGUGAAAUAC